GCAUUUGGAAGAAAAAAGAGAGUAUACCUAUACGGGCACAUGCCAGGCACAAAGCGUGCACAUGAUAAGUAUUGCCUAUUAUUAAUAUUGAUUGCUUGUUUUUUUUCCCUUGGCCCAGAACUAAAAUUUAUUGAACCAGAAGAGUGAGUGCCUUGCUGUUGAAACUUUAAAACCAAUCGCCUAAAAUACACCCAUUCUUAUAACUGGAAGCAGAUCAAGAGAGAUGACAAAUACCAUGAGGGCAUUGCACCGCUGGACACCCAGUGCCUGGCCUAUCCAGGGGUUCAGUUAGUAACUCUCAAUGCUCACCUAGAUCUUGAAGGACAGACACCAGCAGCAGAAAACAUCGUUACCCCCAAAUGGUCUGUAACUAUUUGUCAAUAGUAAUGCUUUAACUCAUGAUGAAAGCUUUCUCUAUAUACAUCCAAAGCAUUUUACUUUGUGUUUGG
rnacentral:lncRNA from 1 species